GCAGCUCUCCAAAUUACAUUUCAAGGAAAUAUAAACAUUGCAACAUGUCAAGAGAUGAACUCAUUGGUAAAAUUUCUCAGCAAAGAAAUGUCAUCACCAGUUUGCAAAACCAGAUCGCACAAACUCAAAGACAGUUUCAACGAGAUUUAUCCGGAAGUGGUGUGACUCUAAAUGCAUGUCAGUCCAUUGAGAUGUGAGAUGCUAUGGCUUUAUGUUCGACCGAAAUGGAGAAAGCCUUCCCAGAUUCCAAUUGCUUUCAAAGACUUUUUUGGAGUGAACAAUUUAAAAGUGUUAACGUGAAAUCAGCUAAAGGAAUGAAAUGGCAUCCCAUGAUAAUUAGAUGGUGCUUGUAUCUUCGACAGAAGUCCAGUGCUGCAUAUGCAUGAUGCUUUGAGAGACUCAGGGUUUAUCACUUUACCUAGUGCAAGGACUUUGUUUGAUUACUCUCACUACACUAAAUGUGGUAAUGGUUAUCAACCAGAUGUUCUAAAUAUAUUGAAAUCAGAGGCAGAAAAGAAGGGCAUGUAUAACAUAGAUGAGCCAUGGCGAAAUUAAAGUACGUUGGAAUACUAUUUGAUGAAAUUCAGGUUAAAUCAGAAAUAGUAUAUGACAAAUACAGUGGUGAAUUAAUAGGUUACUGUAAUUUAGACAAAGUUGGCAACCAGAUGAUGGAACUUGACAAGAGUAUUAAAGGAACUGAACAAUCAGACAUAGCCAAGUACAUGCUUGUUGUAAUGGUGAGAGGUGUAACUUGCGACCUACGGUUCCCAUUGGCCGGUUUUCCAACAAAUAGUAUAACAGCAGAUUUUUUGUACCCUGUUAUUUGGAAGGCAGUACGCAUCCUAGAGACCGGCCUUGUUGACCUAAGGGUUCUAUUUAUUACUUGCGAUGGUGCGUCAUCUAACAGAAGAUUUUUUAAACUUCACAGUGAGGACAAUGACUUCGUGCACUAUGCAGAUCACCCAUAUACUCAUCUGACAACAGAGUCAUAUAUUUUAUUUCGGAUGUACCCCAUCUUAUCAAAACAACACGCAACUGUUUUUGCAAUUCAUUCUCGCAUAAGAAUACUCGUAAAAUGUGGAAAGACGGUAAAGAUAUUUCUUGGCUUCAUAUGCUGAAUGUAUUUGAACAACAUUGUGAGCUGUCCUUAUAUAGCCCAUGUCCAAAACUAACAAGAAAGCAUAUAGACAUGUCUACAUUUGGGUGCAUGAAAGUGAAUUUCGCAGCACAGGUACUACAUGUACUAAGUUCAACUGUAGCGAAUGCGUUGGAAAUGCUUUAUGGAGACAAUGUGACAGAGACCGUUAACUUUAUAAGGGUAAUGAACCGCUUUUUUGACUGUUUGAAUGUGAGAAGCCUGUACGAAGGUCGUAACAAAAGAAAUCCUGACUUAAACCCAUACAAUUCUCCGAAUGAUGAAAGACUGAGGUGGUUGAAAGAGGAUUUCCUAAAUUACUUUAGUGAAUGGGAGCAAGCCGUCAUGAAUCGAGUUGGAAAUUUCACUUUGAAAGAACGAAAGGGGAUGCAGCUUAGCCAUCAGACUAUAACUGGACUUAAAAUAAGUGUACAUUCUAUUGUUGCAAGUGUAAAAUUUUUAUUAAACAGUGGUGCUAAGUUUGUGCUCACUCACUCCUUCAAUCAGGAUCCACUUGAACAGGAGUUUGGACAUUAUUGUCAUAGAGUUGGUGACAACAAUAACCCAACAGUAUAUGCGUGCCGUAGGAGCAGUUGCCUUAGCUCCAAAGAGAGGGAAUAUCCACCGACAGAAUGAUGAAAACCGUUUUGUAAUUGACAAUUCAAAGUUACCAAAGAGAUAAACUCUAGUUGUACUCUAGUGACAUUGUCAUUGUUAUUAUGUAUAAACUUCAAAAGGUUAUGAAUAGUUUUAAUUUAGAUUUUAAUGUUUUCUCCUGUUUUACCAGCAUGCAUGAAGACGUGCUAAAAGUACAUGAAAGUUCAAAGUAAAUACAAUAUUCUGAAUGUGGAUCUAAUAAAUUCCUGUUUUAUUGGUAUUUUUUUAAUUUUUUAUUAUUGUUUAUGAUACAUGUUGUAUAUAUAUUGAACAUGUAUGAUGUGUGUCAACAAAGGAAAACUUUACUUGUCUCUUAAUAUUGUUGGUAACUUAAAUGUAUAUAGUAGGCAAGUCAAUUAUCUAGGAUUAUGUACAUUUUUAAAAUUUGUAUAUACAUCAUUUGUUAUGAAAAAAAGUUGUUCCUUUUACAUUGUACAUGUUUUAUGUUUGUUUAAAUGACAGCUUUAUGUGUCUCAGAAGUCGAUAAAAUAAAUCUUAUCUUAUAUAGUGUACAUAUUGUAUAAAGUUCUACUUCUGGACACAAUUUUUUUAAACAUGUUUUUUUUAUAGAUUUUUUUUUAUUGAAAUUGUUGUUUAGGCCAAAAAAAAAUAUAUGUCUGUUUCCUGUUUCCCGACCGACCCUAACUCAAACCCCCCGACCCUAAAUCUUUUUAUUCAAAUCCGGAAAAAAAUCGGUUCCGGUCCGAACCAGAUCCGUAUUUUACUAUGCCCAAACAAAAAAUGGCUGCUCCCAGCACAAAUGUGCCACAAUAAGCGAGUUUAAAAAUGUCAGCACUUGGAGGAUUAUUCAAUUAAAGCUUCUUUAAAGGGAUUAAAUCAUUUAGGGGUACAGGACCCUAACCAAACAUGACAUAUAA